rnacentral:rRNA from 1 species
GACGAACGCUGGCGGCGUGCUUAACUCAUGCAAGUCGAACGGAAAGGCUCCAGCUUGCUGGAGUACUCGAGUGGCGAACGGGUGAGUAACACGUGGGUAAUCUGCCCUGCACUCUGGGAUAAGCCUGGGAAACUGGGUCUAAUACUGGAUAUGACCUUUCUCCUUAUGGGGUUUGGUGGAAAGUUUUUCGGUGUAGGAUGAGCCCGCGGCCUAUCAGCUUGUUGGUGGGGUGAUGGCCUACCAAGGCGACGACGGGUAGCCGGCCUGAGAGGGUGAUCGGCCACAUUGGGACUGAGAUACGGCCCAGACUCCGACGGGGGGCAGCAGUAAGGAAUCUUCCACAAUGGGCGAAAGCCUGAUGGAGCAACGCCGCGUUCAGGAUGAAGGCCUUCGGGUUGUAAACUGCUUUUAUGUGCGAGGAAUAUGACGGUAACACAUGAAUAAGGAUCGGCUAACUCCGUGCCAGCAGCCGCCGUAA